rnacentral:rRNA from 1 species
CUACGGGUGGCAGCAGUGAGGAAUAUUGCACAAUGGGGGGAACCCUGAUGCAGCAACGCCGCGUGGAGGAUGACGCAUUUCGGUGUGUAAACUCCUUUUAUAUGUCAAGAAAAUGACGGUAGCAUAUGAAUAAGCACCGGCUAACUCCGUGCCAGCAGCCGCGGUAAUACGGAGGGUGCAAGCGUUACUCGGAAUCACUGGGCGUAAAGGACGCGUAGGCGGGUUGGAAAGUCAGGUGUGAAAUCCUACAGCGUAACUGUAGAACUGCACUUGAAACUUCUAAUCUAGAGUAUGGGAGGGGGAGAUGGAAUUAGUGGUGCAGGGGUAAAAUCCGUAGAUAUCACUAGGAAUACCUAAAGCGAAGGCGAUCUCCUGGAACAUUACUGACGCUAAGGCGUGAAAGCGUGGGGAGCAAACAGGAUUAGAUACCCUUGUAGUC